rnacentral:rRNA from 1 species
CUUGGGUUCUAUUUUGUUGGCUUCUAGGACCGAAGUAAUGAUUAAUAGGGAUAGUUGGGGACGUUAGUAUUUCAGUGUCAGAGGUGAAAUUCUUAGAUUUCUGAAAGACUAACUUCUGCGAAAGCAUUCGUCAAGGAUGUUUUCAUUAAUCAAGAACGAAAGUUAGGGGAUCGAAGACGAUCAGAUACCGUCGUAGUCUUAACCAUAAACUAUGCCGACUAGGGAUCGGACGAUGAAUUAUUAAUGACUCGUUCGGCACCUUAUGAGAAAUCAAAGUUUUUAGGUUCCGGGGGGAGUAUGGUCGCAAGGCUGAAACUUAAAGGAAUUGACGGAAGGGCACCACCAGGAGUGGAGCCUGCGGCUUAAUUUGACUCAACACGGGGAAACUCA